rnacentral:rRNA from 1 species
ACAGAGGUGGCAAGCGUUGUUCGGAAUUACUGGGCGUAAAGCGCGCGUAGGUGGUUCGUUAAGUUGGAUGUGAAAGCCCCGGGCUCAACCUGGGAACUGCAUCCAAAACUGGCGAGCUAGAGUAGGGCAGAGGGUGGUGGAAUUUCCUGUGUAGCGGUGAAAUGCGUAGAUAUAGGAAGGAACACCAGUGGCGAAGGCGACCACCUGGGCUCAUACUGACACUGAGGUGCGAAAGCGUGGGGAGCAAACAGGA